rnacentral:tRNA from 1 species
GGAUGUGGCUCAGCUUGGUAGAGCGCUUGGUUCGGGACUAAGAGGUCAUGGGUUCAAAUCCCAUCAUCC